rnacentral:tRNA from 1 species
GACUCCGUGGCCUAAUGGAUAAGGCGUCCGACUUCGAAUCAGAAGAUUGCGGGUUCGAGUCCUGUCGGGGUCG